rnacentral:rRNA from 1 species
CAUGUAGGCGGCCCAGCAAGCGUCCUGUGAAAUCCCUCGGCUCAACCGAGGAAUUGCGUGGCGAACUGUUGGGCUUGAGGUAGGUAGGGGCGUGUGGAACUCUUGGUGGAGCGGUGGAAUGCGUAGAUAUCAAGAGGAACGCCGGUGGCGAAGGCGACACGCUGGGCCUGUCCUGACGCUGAGAUGCGAAAGCUAGGGUAGCGAACAGGAUUAGAUACCCUGGUAGUCC